UGCCUACGGGGGGCAGCAGUGAGGAAUAUUGGUCAAUGGCCGGAAGGCUGAACCAGCCAAGCCGCGUGAAGGACGAAGGUGCCAAGCAUUGUAAACUUCUUUUGUCAAGGGACAAAAUCAGGCUCGAGAGCCUGACCGAGGGUACUUGAAGAAAAAGCAUCGGCUAACUCCGUGCCAGCAGCCGCGGUAAUACGGAGGAUGCGAGCGUUAUCCGGAUUUAUUGGGUUUAAAGGGUGCGUAGGCGGGAUGCCAAGUCAGCGGUAAAAAUGCGGUGCUCAACGCCGUCGAGCCGUUGAAACUGGCGU
rnacentral:rRNA from 1 species